rnacentral:rRNA from 1 species
UACGAAGGGGGCUAGCGUUGCUCGGAAUUACUGGGCGUAAAGCGCACGUAGGCGGCUUUCUAAGUCGGGGGUGAAAUCCUGGAGCUCAACUCCAGAACUGCCUUCGAUACUGGAGAGCUCGAGUCCGGGAGAGGUGAGUGGAAUUCCUAGUGUAGAGGUGAAAUUCGUAGAUAUUAGGAAGAACACCAGUGGCGAAGGCGGCUCACUGGUCCGGUACUGACGCUGAGGUGCGAAAGCGUGGGGAGCAAACAGG